rnacentral:lncRNA from 1 species
GAAGGCAGCUGUCUACAAGUCAGGAAGAGGGCACUCACCAGAAGAGAAUCUACCAGCACCUUGAUCUUGAACUUUAGCCUCUAGAACUGAAGGUCAAUUUCACCGAUCAGAAGUAAGAGACUGUGAAAAUCUGGGAUUCUGCUGAGUUCGCCUCAGUUCUCCCUCCCUGUGUCACAGCCUGGAAACUAUCAAUGAAGUAAAUCGUUAAGACUCUUCUCUGUUGUUUCGUGCCUCUUAGGGAUCUCUGUUCUCCCCUUACUUGAUGUCUAAUUUUGUUAUUUUAUUUGAAUGACUGUUUCAUAUACCUCUGGGACCAAAGUAGGAUUUGGUAGGGGCUUAAAACACUGUUAAGAAAAAUCGACUGAAUAAAUUGUGUAUAUAAAUUCACUAAUACAA